GCAGAAACUAUAUGGCAUCGGCAUCGUUUCACACAUGCUGCUUGAUCUGGUCUGUGUUGUGCUGUUCGCAAGUAUACGCACUUGAAGCCGGCAAAGUGGCCUUUGUAAGGCAUGCCUGUCAGUACGGAUAUAAUUUAAUUCAAGCGCAGUAUACAUUACAAGAUGAGUGCAAACGAGCGACAUGCUAUAUAUCUGAUAGGAAGCUUACCAUUGAAGAGUGCGCGGCUACUGCCUCGGAUAAUAGCUCGUGCAGUGUGAAAAGUAACUUCAAGAAACUGCCAUUUCCUUUCUGUUGCGAAUCGCGCAAAUGUGGAGAAA
rnacentral:lncRNA from 1 species